rnacentral:rRNA from 1 species
UACGGAGGGGGCUAGCGUUGUUCGGAAUUACUGGGCGUAAAGCGCACGUAGGCGGCUUUGUAAGUUAGAGGUGAAAGCCCAGGGCUUAACCCUGGAAUUGCCUUUAAGACUGCAUCGCUAGAAUCUGGAGAGGUAAGUGGAAUUCCGGAGUGUAGAGGUGAAAUUCGUAGAUAUUCGGAAGAAACACCAGUGGCGAAGGCGACUUACUGGACACGUAUUGACGCUGAGGUGCGAAAGCGUGGGGAGCAAACAGG